AGCCUUAAGAACUUGUUUAAGGUGAAGCCUGCUCAAUGAGUAAUUAAAUAGCCGCGGUACCCUGACCGUGCUAAGGUAGCAUAAUCAGUUGACUUUUAAAUGAAGUCUGGUAUGAAGGGAAAUACGGGGUUUUGCUGUCUCAAAGUUUUUCUUUUGAAUUUACUUAUUAGGUGAAAAGGCCUAAAAAUGAUAAGGGACGAGAAGACCCUUAGAGCUUUUUAAUAAUUUUGUUGGGGCAACAGAGAAUCAUUUAAUAUUCUUAAAAUUAUAAGACGGAUUUAUCAUGAAUAGAUAAGCUACCUGAGGGAUAACAGCAUAAUCUUUAUUAGGUUUGUGACCUCGAUGUUGGACUAGGAAGCCUAUAGGUUAGCCGCCUAUAAGGGGGAUUCUGUUCGAAUUUUUACUCCU
rnacentral:rRNA from 1 species